GAUGAACGCUGGCGGCGUGCCUAAUACAUGCAAGUCGAGCGAACGGACGAGAAGCUUGCUUCUCUGAUGUUAGCGGCGGACGGGUGAGUAACACGUGGAUAACCUACCUAUAAGACUGGGAUAACUUCGUGAAACCGGAGCUAAUACCGGAUAAUAUUUUGAACCGCAUGGUUCAAAAGUUCAAGACAGUCUUGCUGUCACUUAUAGAUGGAUCCGCGCUGCAUUAGCUAGUUGGUAAGGUAACGGCUUACCAAGGCAACGAUGCAUAGCCGACCUGAGAGGGUGAUCGGCCACACUGGAACUGAGACACGGUCCAGACUCCUACGGGAGGCAGCAGUAGGGAAUCUUCCGCAAUGGGCGAAAGCCUGACGGAGCAACGCCGCGUGAGUGAUGAAGGUCUUCGGAUCGUAAAACUCUGUUAUUAGGGAAGAACAUAUGUGUAAGUAACUGUGCACAUCUUGACGGUACCUAAUCAGAAAGCCACGGCUAACUACGUG
rnacentral:rRNA from 1 species